rnacentral:rRNA from 1 species
CCAGACUCCUACGGGAGGCAGCAGUGGGGGAUAUUGCACAAUGGGGGGAACCCUGAUGCAGCGACGCCGCGUGGGUGAAGAAGCGCCUCGGCGCGUAAAGCCCUGUCAGCAGGGAAGAAAAUGACGGUACCUGAAGAAGAAGCCCCGGCUAACUACGUGCCAGCAGCCGCGGUAAUACGUAGGGGGCAAGCGUUAUCCGGAUUCACUGGGUGUAAAGGGAGCGUAGACGGCCAUGCAAGCCUGGAGUGAAAGGCCGGGGCCCAACCCCGGGACUGCUCUGGGAACUGUGCGGCUGGAGUGCGGGAGGGGCAGGCGGAAUUCCUGGUGUAGCGGUGAAAUGCGUAGAUAUCAGGAGGAACACCGGCGGCGAAGGCGGCCUGCUGGACUGCAACUGACGUUGAGGCCCGAAAGCGUGGGGAGCAAACAGGAUUAGAUACCCGUGUACG